rnacentral:rRNA from 1 species
UGCCAGCAGCCGCGGUAAUACGGAGGAUCCAAGCGUUAUCCGGAUUUAUUGGGUUUAAAGGGUGCGUGGGUGGCUUCAUAAGUCAGUGGUUAAAUACGAUAGCUCAACUAUCGAAGUGCCAUUGAAACUGUAGAGCUAGAGAAUGGUUGCAGCAGGCGGAAUGUGUAGUGUAGCGGUGAAAUGCUUAGAUAUUACACAGAACACCGAUUGCGAAGGCAGCUUGCUAAGCCAUUUCUGACACUGAUGCACGAAAGCGUGGGGAGCGAACAGGAUUAGAUA